GGCUCGUUGGUCUAUGGGUAUGAUUCCUGCUUCGGGUGCAGGAGGUCCCGGGUUCAAAUCCCGGACGAGCCC